GAGACAGACACCAGCUGAGGAUUGGAAACAGGCUAAAUUGUUUCCAAGACUAUAUAGGAGUUUAAAGGCAGAAUUGCACAGAUCGUUCUGCAAGGCUGUUCUACCUACAUUAACAGUAAAAUCAGACCAAAAUCUGGGAACAUCCUAAGAAAAGCAUAUGUGAUUUGGAGCUUACCUCCCUCAUUUCCUGUAAUACUGAGAGUACAGAAAGGAACUUAAAAAGUCCAACUUUGCUUACUUUGUGGUAAGCCUCACAGAGACCUCUUCUGACAGAAGGCAAUCUUGUCCUGUGUGCUGGUACAGAGCUCGGUCCUCGCAGAAGAAAUCGGAGAUCUUAUCCUUCUUGAAGGGUUAACUUGCCCUAAGGAAGCAGCAAUCAACAGACAUUAACUUGUGAUCACAAGCACAGGAGCUGUAUCUUCGAUGGACGUGUUAGAGGAAGGGUAAAAGCUUCAUGGAGAGCUCUCCAUCUGUUGUAAAAUCAGCAAGAGGGCAGAGCAGAAAACACACAAACACAGAAUGUGUGCUCUCUAAGCAACAUUUAUUCUACGUAUAAAAAAGGAAAAGCUAAAAAGAGUCUAACCUGGUUUAUAUCAGGCCUUUUUCAAGGAAGAAGGAAAAAAUUCAUUCUGGAAAAAAUGCAUAUCUGACUGCAUUUGUCAAUGAAUACCUAAUUCCUCAUGGCCCAUUUGAAAACAGACCACCUUUGGGAGUAAUAGAGAUUACUGCAACACGUGUAUUACAGCCUUUUCAUGUCUGAGGUGAAUGUUCAUACCAAAAAGCAAUACACUGGGCAAAAUAUGCAGGGAACCAAAUAGCUCUUCAUUUGUUGCAGGAGAUCAUUUUAUUCACUGAGAAAUGAGCACAUAAAAUGGAAAAGGAAAAAAUGAAUGUUUAAAAGGAAGAGGGGAGUGGGAUUGGGAUUGUGAGUUCAAGAAGAUACAGCCCUGAGAAGCAGGAUCUGAGAAACAGUCAGUGACUGCAUCCUUUGUAUUAAUAAGAAAGAAAACCUAUUAGAUAGAUAGAUAGAUAGAUAGAUAGAUAGAUAAGCUUAAGAGUUUCUGACUUUGAGGAAGGAGAUUGGAAACUUCCAACUACUUUCUUGUAAUUUAAAUAAAAGCUAUUUUUCAUAUAUUUUAGAAGAUAGCUUAGCUAGAAGAAAUGCAUAGUUAUGGUACAGAUAAAUGUUUUUAUAUUAUGCAGUGUUCAAAAAUAUAAUUGCAAAUACAUUUAGAAGAUAAAAGUUUUAUUAAUUUAAAAGACCUACAUUCAGAACAUGGCAAAUGAUUAUUCUGUAAGUACAAUUUUAUUAGUAGAGUUGUAUUAAUAGAAUUAUUAUUUUCCUCUCCUGCCUGGUUAAUUAUUAUAAUCUUUCUCUGUUUAUCUAUUUUGGAUUUUUUUUUCUUUUAGUUUAAAAAAGGUAUGUGCUCAUUCUCUACAUUUUCUUCAAAGCAGAAAACAAUCUAGUAAACAUUAGGACUGAACUCUCAACCCAACUCUGUAAAAGUAGAAUCAUAAUUAGGCAAAGUUAGUUUGUCUGCUGCUGUGUGUAAACAAGUUGAAUAACUUCAUUAUUUUCAAGCUUUGCCCCUACAUUAGAAUAAUUCACACUACUUCAGGGAAAUGACACCUGCUAAUUAACCACAAGCAGACAAAGCACUUUAACAGCCAUAAUCAGUCAUUUUCUCCUGCAGUUUAAAAAAGAUUUGAAAAAAAAUACCGAGAAAAAAAAGAAAAAAAAGAUCAAAACCUUUGUGACAAGAUGUUUCCAUGAAUCAUCCUCUUGAGGGGACCUUACUGCUUGAAGAAGAUUCAAAUAUAAUAACACAUCUGUUCAGAAAGGAAAGGAAUUAAGUAAAGUCACAUAUAUGCUCUAUUGUAUUUUACACAGACACCUGUUUGGGACUCAGCUCCACCUAAAAAUAAAUAUUUAAAGUGGUCAAUAUGGAUAGUCAAUAUGUAUUUAUUGAAUGACUCAUUCCAACAGAGUUUUCCAUAAUAAUGAACCAGCAACUUCCCAAAGUUCUCUCCCUCUCCAUUGACAAACCUUGCCUUAAGCACACAUCAGCUCUGGAGAUGACUGAAGUUAAGUGGUGUGAAUCACAACCCCACAACACUGUCUCAAAAUAAUAUAUAUUCAAAUGCACAAGAGAAAGUAUUUGCAAAAGGAAAUCUUAUUCCUAUUUUGCAGUGAGAAGAUGAAGCAUGGAAAAUAAAUCUCCUAGACAUGGUUUCACUGAAAGUCUGUGAUGGAAUGAGAAGUAAAUACCAAACUUCACGUGUCCUGAUUCAGGAACACUAUAGUCCUAAUUAUGCCUUUUCCCCCUCUGAUUUCACAUUCUAAGAUCCUGCAGAAUUUUUUCAAUUGUAUUUUUAAGAGUUCCUAUAAAUCCUGAUUUCUCAAUUCAUUUGCAAUAUUUAGAAAGUACUUUACAUGUCCUGGUGGGCUACUGCAUUAACCAAUUCUGUGCUGAUACUCUCCAGAACUGGUAGAAAAGGUUAAGACAGCAAAACCUUCUUGCUCUUUCAUUCACUCAAUACCUAUGUUGAGCAGGAAGGAUUUUUUUUUCUUGGGACAUACCAAGAAAAAACCCUUAGGCUAGAGGUGGUAAACAUAAGAAAAUGGUUUCACAGUAAUUGGUAGUAGGAAAACUAAAUAUAAAAUCACAAAAACCAGAUAUUGCAGUCUCAGUCCUACAGUAGUUUGGAGAAAAAAAAAUAUCCCUGGGGAAAAGUGCUGAAACAGCAAAAGAAAUUAUGGAAAUCCAUUUAAGAAACUGAGAUUGUGAAGGUUUUUCGCAAAAUAAAAGGGGACUCCAAGAACAAAGGAAAAAAUCACAUCUUCACAGCUUUUCAGACAUAUGCCAAGAGAAGUGAGCAUGUUUGAUAUUUCUGAGUAAGAACCAGUAGACACUAUUGUAAGGAGGUGCUGAACAGACUGAAGAGCUACACAGUCUUUAUCCCAUCACAAUGACUUGGAGCAUGUUAGGCAAUUCCAGUGUUAGACCUUUCAUCCUUUGUCCCCACUGUCCCUCUCCAGAGAUGUACUGAUCUCCAUUGCUAUUUUUCUAGGUAUCUGCAUACCUUUUAACAGUCCUUGAGCCAAAUUAGUACAGUCUUUAUCCAAAAAUUGUAAUUUUCUAAACCACAGCUCCAGCUAUUGCCACAAAAUUAUUAUACACUUUGAACGGCUUUUGGAAGAGUUUACAUGCUGUGCUUGCUUGAGAUGACAAGAAGGAGAGAGGAAGUUUUCACUAAUCAUUAAGAAAGAAGGUGGCAGGAAAUCGCACUCUUCAGAUCAUGUAAAGGAUUCCUUGUGGUCCUUGCUUUGAGAAAUUCUGAUAUCUCCACUCUAAGGCUUUGUAAUUGGGCAUGUGAAACCUCUGCAGGUGGGAGUUGUACAUUUCCUUUCCGUGGUGAAGUUUCACACAGAUUGGCUGAGCUGAACAGAGGUAAGCACAGCUUUGCCCUGAGCUUUCCCAGGAGAAUAUUAUCAAUUGUUGUAAUUCUAGAACAUUCCAGAGAACCUCAUGAAAGACAGUACCAAAAAAGCAGCCUGGGAACUGAAGCCAACAGCACUGUUCUAGGAACUCUGAUUGGGAUGGCUGCUUAUUCCUGACAGAGAGUGACCCAGACUUAUCUUCAUGUCUUGCAACCACCAUAUAGCUGUGAGAUGACCACUUACUCUUUGGUUGGCUUUCUGUGAAGUCCUGCUGUGGAGAGACAGAGAACUGAUCUCCAGGACAGAUGUAAGACAGUGGUGGCCCAUGCUGUGACACAGUGGCUGAUCAGGAUUUUCUGGCAUGUGACAGUGUUGAGUUCUAUCUUUUCUCUACUAAAAUAUAUGCAAAAGUGCUUUAAAAGACAUUGUUUAGGCUGCAAAGUCCAAGUCCAGUGAAUUAGGUGAUCUUAAGACAACAUUAAUUUGCCAUUACUUGUAAAUGUAUUGAAAGUUCCCAUGAAAAUGUGACCUUGCCCAAUAUUUUAAAGACAUGUCAGAAACAGAAUUAGAGUUAAAUACUCUUAUAUUUGGCAUUUCCUAACAUUUAAUUUGUUUAACAAUCCAAUCCAAGUAGCUUUCCUUAAUUGUUGUUGUUUUUGUUGUGUGGUUUUGUUUUUUUUAAUUGUAAUUACAGACAUGUACAUGCACAUGUUUAUGCUCAUAUAAAUUUACAAUACUGGGAAAAAAGAAGCUGUGUUUUCCAUUCAGUAUGAAAUGUCUUGCUUGACUUGUAAUGAUUCUUGGAGAAGAUAAGUAAAAUAAAAAGGCUAAAGACCUCAUGAACUCUAUGCUACACCUGUAAUUACAGUACUUAAGGGUUCUUAACUGCGCUGCAGAAGAAUAAAAGGAAACAAUCUCAACAUAAGCACUCAUGGGUACAUGCUAAAUCUGUUCACUUUUUUCUUAGCCCACCAGCUCCCACCAGCUGACCUAAUGAACAAGUCCUUUCUGACUUCAGAAGAAUCUACAUUUUAGCCAUUCCAGCUGGGAACAAGCAAGGUUGUAUGCUGCUGGGUCAGCAGUUACUCUGAGAAUGGGAUAAGUAGAAAAGGUGGCAAAGAUGUCUAAAAAUAACAAGCUAUAAAGAAGUGUGAUUCUGUUUAUCUGCAGUUAGGUGGGUGGGGUUAAGCCCUCCACCUAAGCCCUGAUGAGUAGGAGCCCUGGCUAUGAAAGUUUUUUAAACCCGAAGUGUCAGCAUGGGAGCUGUGGUGAUAGGUUGUUGACUUAGGAGAUCAUGGGCAUUUGACAAGAUCUCAUUUGUCCAGACCACAGAGGAUGCUCUGUUUCAGUUCACAUGCCAAUUCUGCACUUAUUACUUGGCAUAUAAUGCAAGCUGUGUUUCCUCCAUGAUCACCCUUGAGCAAUAUAAGCUCACUCAAUUCCUACCAGGUAGACAUCCUUGAGUAACAAGUAUUACGAUGUAACAAGAGUUCAGAGGCUUAAUAUUUUUCCCUUUGGUUUCCCUGUGAGUUCAUCACAAAUUGUUCCAGGUCUGCUGUGAUGAAAAGAGCCGAGUCCUUGCAGGCAAAAUCCUGGCAGCACACAGAAUAUUCAUAGUUUCCAUUUUUACUUCUGCACUUCCUGUUGCAUGUAUUUGCUCUGGAGCCACUUCAUUUAAAUUAUGAAAUACAGCAUAUUUAUCAAAAAAUAAGAAGUUCUUCAGACUUGCAAUGAAUACAUGCAGCCAAACAAAGCACACGGCACAAAAUCCACCAAAUAGGUUGUAUGAGGGUGGAAUGACUGAGGGCUGUGUAAAAUUUAAAGAACUGAAGAAAAUAUUUGUGAGAGUUUGAUAUAGCCCAGCUAUUUGACAUAUGAGCAGUGAAGGAUCCAAAGUGUAGUUGGUAAGGUAGAUUCAAUAAGGAAGUAUAAUAAUUUUUUUGUAUGAAUUGUCAUAAUUAGUUGUUUCCUCUUCCAUUAUUGUCUAAGAACUCUGCAGUGUCUUCAGUAUGUUACAAGUUUAGUGUGCUAUAUAGGUUGGACAAGUGUAGUCAUGGAAUGGAAAUGGCCAUAUACAUAUGCAACACAUCACUUGUGUGUUCUUUCACAUAAUCAGAAAUUAAAAGUCAAGAUUUAUUUUCCUUUUGGUCAUGUUAAGAGAGAUGUUAAUUCAUGCAGUCCCUAAGUACUUCCAUGUGUGUUCAGCCUUAGCUAAAAUGUAUAUCACUCUUGCAGGUGACUGAACAGUGGUUACAAUGUAAAUUAUUUAGGACUUAAAAAAUGAGAUGAUGUUUGAAAUGUGUCAUUGUUAAUUUAAAAAAAAAAAGUUUUGAUGCUAUU